CCUGGCUCAGAUUGAACGCUGGCGGCAGGCCUAACACAUGCAAGUCGAGCGGAAACGAUCCUAGCUUGCUAGGAGGCGUCGAGCGGCGGACGGGUGAGUACUGCAUAGGAAUCUGCCCGGUAGUGGGGGAUAACCUGGGGAAACUCAGGCUAAUACCGCAUACGUCCUACGGGAGAAAGGGGGCCUUGGCUCCCGCUAUCGGAUGAGUCUAUGCCGGAUUAGCUGGUUGGUGAGGUAAUGGCUCACCAAGGCGACGAUCCGUAGCUGGUCUGAGAGGAUGAUCAGCCACAUCGGGACUGAGACACGGCCCGAACUCCUACGGGAGGCAGCAGUGGGGAAUAUUGGACAAUGGGGGCAACCCUGAUCCAGCCAUGCCGCGUGUGUGAAGAAGGCCCUCGGGUUGUAAAGCACUUUCAGUGAGGAAGAACGCCUGGCGGUUAAUACCCGCCAGGAAAGACAUCACUCACAGAAGAAGCACCGGCUAACUCCGUGCCAGCAGCCGCGGUAAUACGGAGGGUGCAAGCGUUAAUCGGAAUUACUGGGCGUAAAGCGCGCGUAGGUGGCUUGAUAAGCCGGUUGUGAAAGCCCCGGGCUCAACCUGGGAACGGCAUCCGGAACUGUCAGGCUAGAGUGCAGGAGAGGAAGGUAGAAUUCCCGGUGUAGCGGUGAAAUGCGUAGAGAUCGGGAGGAAUACCAGUGGCGAA
rnacentral:rRNA from 1 species